UACGAGGGGGGCGGGCGUUGUUCGGAAUUAUUGGGCGUAAAGGGUGCGUAGGCGGUUUGGUAAGUCUGAUGUGAAAUCUAUGGGCUCAACUCAUAGUCUGCAUCGGAAACUGCCGGGCUUGAGUGUGGGAGAGGUGAGUGGAAUUCCUGGUGUAGCGGUGAAAUGCGUAGAUAUCAGGAGAAACACCUGUGGCGAAAGCGGCUCACUGGACCAUAACUGACGCUGAUGCACGAAAGCUAGGGGAGCAAACAGG
rnacentral:rRNA from 1 species